rnacentral:rRNA from 1 species
AAUCGAGUCUAUAAUGCAGUCGACGCUUUGUGGUUCAACUGAUUUGAAGAGCUUGCUCAGAUAUGACGAUGGACAUUGCAAAGAGUGGCGAACGGGUGAGUAACACGUGGGAAACCUACCUCUUAGCAGGGGAUAACAUUUGGAAACAGAUGCUAAUACCGUAUAACAAUGACAACCGCAUGGUUGUUAUUUAAAAGAUGGUUCUGCUAUCACUAAGAGAUGGUCCCGCGGUGCAUUAGCUAGUUGGUAAGGUAAUGGCUUACCAAGGCGAUGAUGCAUAGCCGAGUUGAGAGACUGAUCGGCCACAAUGGGACUGAGACACGGCCCAUACUCCUACGGGAGGCAGCAGUAGGGAAUCUUCCACAAUGGGCGAAAGCCUGAUGGAGCAACGCCGCGUGUGUGAUGAAGGGUUUCGGCUCGUAAAACACUGUUGUAAGAGAAGAAUGACAUUGAGAGUAACUGUUCAAUGUGUGACGGUAUCUUACCAGAAAGGAACGGCUAAAUACGUGCCAGCAGCCGCGGUAAUACGUAUGUUCCAAGCGUUAUCCGGAUUUAUUGGGCGUAAAGCGAGCGCAGACGGUUAUUUAAGUCUGAAGUGAAAGCCCUCAGCUCAACUGAGGAAUUGCUUUGGAAACUGGAUGACUUGAGUGCAGUAGAGGAAAGUGGAACUCCAUGUGUAGCGGUGAAAUGCGUAGAUAUAUGGAAGAACACCAGUGGCGAAGGCGGCUUUCUGGACUGUAACUGACGUUGAGGCUCGAAAGUGUGGGUAGCAAACAGGAUUAGAUACCCUGGUAGUCCACACCGUAAACGAUGAGUGCUAGGUGUUUGAGGGUUUCCGCCCUUAAGUGCCGCAGCUAACGCAUUAAGCACUCCGCCUGGGGAGUACGACCGCAAGGUUGAAACUCAAAGGAAUUGACGGGGACCCGCACAAGCGGUGGAGCAUGUGGUUUAAUUCGAAGCAACGCGAAGAACCUUACCAGGUCUUGACAUCCCUUGACAACUCCAGAGAUGGAGCGUUCCCUUCGGGGACAAGGUGACAGGUGGUGCAUGGUUGUCGUCAGCUCGUGUCGUGAGAUGUUGGGUUAAGUCCCGCAACGAGCGCAACCCUUAUUACUAGUUGCCAGCAUUCAGUUGGGCACUCUAGUGAGACUGCCGGUGACAAACCGGAGGAAGGUGGGGAUGACGUCAAAUCAUCAUGCCCCUUAUGACCUGGGCUACACACGUGCUACAAUGGCGUAUACAACGAGUUGCCAACCCGCGAGGGUGAGCUAAUCUCUUAAAGUACGUCUCAGUUCGGAUUGUAGGCUGCAACUCGCCUACAUGAAGUCGGAAUCGCUAGUAAUCGCGGAUCAGCACGCCGCGGUGAAUACGUUCCCGGGUCUUGUACACACCGCCCGUCACACCAUGAGAGUUUGUAACACCCAAAGCCGGUGGGGUAACCUUCGGGAGCCAGCCGUCUAAGGAGCGGUGG